rnacentral:rRNA from 1 species
UGUCUGUCCCAUCAAUUGGCGAUGGUCGGCGACCUGCCUACCACGGUGUUGACGGGUAACGGGGAAUCAGGGUUCGAUUCCGGAGAGGGAGCCUGCGAAACGGCUACCACCUCCAAGGAGGGCAGCAGGCGCGCAACUUACCCAAUCCCGACACGGGGAGGUAGUGACGAAAAAUAACGUGGCGGGGCCCUUUCGUGGUCGCCGCGGGCGGAAUGAGCGCAAUUUAAAAGAGUGUGCGAGGAGCUAUUGGAGGGCAAGCCUGGUGCCAGCAGCCGCGGUAAUUCCAGCUCCAAUAGCCUAUAUCGGAGUUGCUGCGGUUAAAAAGCUCGUCGUUGGAUCUCGGAGGCGGCACGGUCGGGCGCGAUACGCUGCGGGUCCGACCGGCGAUUUCUCGGCCGUCCCUAACCAGCGCGCGGGGCGAGGUGGACUUCGCGGUCCUGCCUCGUUUUUCUCCUUCACGGGAGAGAACCCGCCGCAUUUUCUGUCUACCUUGAAAAAAUUAGAGUGCUAAAGGCAGGCUAAAACCCCGAGCCUGAAUAUUUCGUGCAUGGAAUAAGCGGGGAUGCUCUUNUCCGGAGGGCGGUCCGACCGACUGGCGACGUCGCUUUCGCUGUCGGUUUCGCCGGAGAGCUAGGAUUCGAGAGGAACGGUGGGGGGCGAGCGUACCGGGCGGGGAGAGGUGAAAUUUUGUGAUCCGCUCGGGACGACUCGAAGCGAAAGCGCUGGCCCCGGACGUCUUCCUUAAUCCAGAACGAAGGUGGGUGGAGCAAAGACGAUCAGAUACCGUCGUAGUACCGACGGUAAACGCUGCCGACCGGGCCGCGGACGAGGCUCGAGAACAGCGGUUAUGGACCCGUCCGUGGCGGCUUCGGGCAACCUGAGAGUUUACGGGUUCCGGGGGUAGUAUGGUCGCAAGGCUGAAACUUGAAGGAAUUGACGGAAGGGCACCACAAGGAGUGGAGCCUGCGGCUUAAUUUGACUCAACACGGGGCAACUUACCCGGUCCGGACAUCGUCAGGAUUGACAGACGCUCGUGCAGUUCUUUCUCGAUUCGAUGGGUGGUGGUGCAUGGCCGUUCGUGGCUGGUGAAGUGAAAAGUCUGGUUUAUUCCGCUAACGGGCGAGGCCUCGCCCUUAACUAGUCGGCUCGUGGUUCUCGAAUCGUAGUCUCCCUUCGGGGAGCAGGGAGAACAUCGGGCGAGUCGCAGCGAUCGUCGCUACUUCUUAGGGGGAUCCCGAGCAAGCUUAAGCUAGGUGAGAGAGAUCAAUAACAGGUCAGUGAUGCCCUUAGAUGUCCGGGGCCGCACGCGCGCUACACUGAAGA